UCAGCAUCUAGGCAAGAAAGAAUACUGCUACUUGCAAUGAAAACUGUCCAUAUUUUCUAAGAGCAUCUCCAAUGGCUCCUCUAAACGGACGUGUAUGUCAAAUAUACACGAUGGAGGGCAGAAAAACGUCUCCAGCGGAACGUGUAUACGGGCGUGCAAAUUAUCCACGUCCAUCCACGAGGCUACUCGUCGUGGAAAUAAACACGACCAAGCCACGGUCGUGGAGACGCAAGAAACGAAGGCUGCUCUCUCCCGCCCCCGUCCGGAGCCGAGCGGAAGAAGACGCCCCAAGCUCACCGGCGGCCAAUCCCCUCCAGUAAGCUCUCUCCUACCCUCCUUUUUUUUCCAUGCCCGCCUGUAGAGAAGAGGCGCCGGCCGUCGGGCGGUCGCCGCACCGCUCGCCAGAUCUGGCAGCGGCGGCGCGAGCCAUGGAGAGGAAGGGCCGGUAGAGAGGGGCUGCGGCCGCCGGCCUGGGGAGGUUGGACGAGCUCCUGCCGCGGGCCUGUGCGGUGGCGGCGGCGGCCUGGGGCGCGAUGGAGGAGGGCGAUGGGGGCGACGGCCUGGGGCGCGACGGAAGAGGGAGAUGGCGCGGGGAUAGGGGAGGAGGGAGAUGGGCGCGGCGGCCUGGGGAGGAGGGGCUCGAGGCCGUGGGGGUGAACGCCAGGCUCGAGGGAGGAGGAAGAUGGGCGCUCGAGGGAAGGAGGAAGAUGCGGACGGAGCUGCUCGGGCCGGGUCGUUCGAUUUGGGGUUGGGUGGGAUGAUGCGUUUGUAUGCAUUGUGCUCAGAUAGAUAUAGAGUUGGUACCAGGCCCAUAUGAUUUUGCUCAUAUAGAGUUGGUACCAGAAUACAGAUUGCUACCAAAUUUCUAUGCAUUGUGUUCAGAUAUUUGUUGUUUCCUAUGUGAUUGUAUGUA